AUAUACGUACAUAAUUAAACAUAUAUUAUUAUAAUUAAACAUAUAAACCGGCAAGAGUUAUUGGUUUGUUAAAUACUGAAUGUUAAAAUGGAGUUAAAAAAUAAACAUCUCAGUAAUAAAGUCGUCAAAGGCGUUUAUCACAUCAUUUACGGUAUGAAGUGAAAAGUGAUCAACAGCGAUUGUUAAGAAUGUUUAAAUCUACGGAAUGCACAUUGUACAAUUUUAUAAUGUGCGCAUCAAUAUAAUAAUGUAUAACAACAUAUUUUUCAUUCAGUUAUCACAUUGUGCUGAAUUGUUUGUUUCAGGUAACAGAGGACAGGCAGGACAAACGUUAAUGGUUAGUUACCAGAGUGAUGACUAGUAAAAUAAUUCAAAUACGAGAAUCUUGCGGAUUUGGAUAAAUCUAACAAACUGUAGUUUUUAGUGUAUGGAAACAUGCCUUUUAUCCGUCAGCAUUUAUAGCCACAAUCAUGGCAAAAGUUCCCUGGAGACGUAAAAUACUACUGUUCGCUUACAUAUGUCGACUUUGUCUCCCCCUAUACAAUAUUGUUUUUACAGGCAUUUCACAAAGCUUUCACCUAACCACUUUAUAAGCUGUCAACAUUGAACCGGGGGAGGUGGGAGUUAAAAAUUGCUGUUUUUGCACGUAUAUGAUAAUUGCGCAAGUCAAUUUCCGCGCCCGUGCUGUCCACAGUAUUUUUCCAGGAUUGUAGUAUAAUCCAUUAUUUAUUUAUUUAUUUAGCUUUGCCAACUAGGGCAGGGUCACCACAACAGCAUAUGCCAAUUACUGUGGGCCCUUUUUACCUAACCCACCCUGUCAACUUUCCCUGUGGGAGGAAACCGGAGUACCCGGGGAAAACCCACGGCUUUCGGCAGAGCGUUGACUUUUACUCUUUUCACAUGGGGACUGGGUUCGAGUCGCAUUGAGAAUGUACUUAGUGAGACUCGAACCUGCAGCCUCAGAGGUAAAAGGCAAGUGCGCUAACCACUAAGCCACCGAAGCCUCUAAAAUGUUCAAAGGUGAUUAAUAUCGAUGUCGCAUUGUCAUCUUUUGUGACUGUUAAAGCAUACUAACAAGUUUGUGAAAUAUUUUUUCUUAAAAAUCUAACUUAACGUCCCCAACAAUGCGCCAGCAAUAAUAAUAUCUCUAUUUCUUAAUGUUUUUAGUAUAAUGAAUCAGCUCAUAUUGUUGGGACAGGAAAUAUCGUUCAAUCAGCUCCACCUCCCGGAGGUAAAUUUAUAUGAGGCGGCGCGCGAUUCUUUGGAUGU